UACAGACGGUCCAAACGUUAUUCGGAAUCACUGGGCUUAAAAAGUUCGUAGGCGGGAUGGCAAGUCGGUCGUGAAAUCCCUCGGCUCAACCGAGGAACGUCGAUCGAUACUGCUGUUCUUGAGGAUUGCAGAGGAGACUGGAAUUCCCGGUGUAGCGGUGAAAUGUGUAGAGAUCGGGAGGAACACCGGUGGCGAAGGCGGGUCUCUGGGCAAUUCCUGACGCUGAGGCGCGAAAGCGUGGGGAGCAAACGGGG
rnacentral:rRNA from 1 species